GAUGAACGCUAGCUAUAGGCUUAACACAUGCAAGUCGAGGGGAAACGGCAGAGAGUGCUUGCACACUUUGGACGUCGACCGGCGCACGGGUGAGUAACGCGUAUCCAACCUGCCCUUUACUUGGGGAUAACCCGUUGAAAGACGGACUAAUACCCAAUGAUAUUCAUUGAUGACAUCUGAUUUGAAUUAAAGAUUUAUCGGUAUAGGAUGGGGAUGCGUCUGAUUAGCUUGUUGGUGAGGUAACGGCUCACCAAGGCAACGAUCAGUAGGGGUUCUGAGAGGAAGGUCCCCCACAUUGGAACUGAGACACGGUCCAAACUCCUACGGGAGGCAGCAGUGAGGAAUAUUGGUCAAUGGGCGAGAGCCUGAACCAGCCAAGUAGCGUGCAGGAUGACGGCCCUAUGGGUUGUAAACUGCUUUUAUGUGGG
rnacentral:rRNA from 1 species